AACGAACGCUGGCGGCAUGCCUAAUACAUGCAAGCCGAACGAGAUCUUCGGAUCUAGUGGCGCACGGGUGCGUAACGCGUGGGAAUCUGCCCUUGGGUUCGGAAUAACUUCUGGAAACGGAAGCUAAUACCGGAUGAUGACGUAAGUCCAAAGAUUUAUCGCCCAAGGAUGAGCCCGCGUAGGAUUAGCUAGUUGGUGGGGUAAAGGCCCACCAAGGCGACGAUCCUUAGCUGGUCUGAGAGGAUGAUCAGCCACACUGGGACUGAGACACGGCCCAGACUCCUACGGGAGGCAGCAGUAGGGAAUAUUGGACAAUGGGGGAAACCCUGAUCCAGCAAUGCCGCGUGAGUGAUGAAGGCCUUAGGGUUGUAAAGCUCUUUUACCCGGGAUGAUAAUGACAGUACCGGGAGAAUAAGCUCCGGCUAACUCCGUG
rnacentral:rRNA from 1 species